GCUGGAUGUGGUGGCACACACCUGUAAUCCCAGCGGCUUGGGAGGAUGAGGCAGGAGGAUCACAAGUUCAAAGCCAGCUUCCCCAACUCAGCAAAGCCCUAAGAAACUUGAUGAGAUCCUGUCUCUA
rnacentral:sRNA from 1 species